AGGGAUUGAUCUUCUGCCAAUCUAUCACUAGGGGAAGCUACUCAAGGCAUGUCCCUCAUGCCAGACAUGUUCAAGGUGUAUGUCUCUUAAGCAAGCCCCAUCUUACUGGAGAAGACCCAUACUUGACCACUUCUGAGCACUUGGGUUCUUUUUCUGUCUUGCAGUGCAAAAGUCUUCACUUGUUUUGUUCCUUCAUUCAUGGUCCCAGGCACUACCCACCUGAGCAGCCUACACAAGACUCAAUGGCUUCAUCCUUUGGAGUUUGCUGCCCGUGCCCUAUUACCCAGCACAUGUCUAGUCCACCCACUUAGGAUCCUGGCAGUAUCUUUCUCUGUGUCUUCCCACUGGUGGAAUGAGUGCUCCAAGAAAACAGAGAGGGAGGCAUGGAGAAGUGACAAGCAAUAUUCCCUUCAGAUAUAUGCUCUAAUCCUCAUCCAUGGUUUCUUUUACAUGAACUGAGGCACUAUCCACUUGAUGCUUCCAUCACCCCAGUGGAUGUAGUACCUGGCCUCAGCUGCUUGAAACUCCCUCACUCCCUCUACAAUCCACCCUUUAGUAUCCUGGCUGCAUCUUUCUUAGUGAGAAGACCUUUGCUGGAUUUGGUCGUGCGUUCAUGGUCCCAGGCACUCUCCACCUAGUACAGCUCCUUGCAACACCAACAGAUGCAUCCUAUGGCAUCUGCUCCACGAGGCCUCUCUAAUCCAGUCCUUAGUCUCCAAGAUCAUGUCCAUCUCAGUGUGAAGUUCUUUGCUGGGUUUGUUCUGCAUUCCUAGUCUCAGUUCAAAGGGCCUUGCAGGUUUGGUGCUGCAUUCAUGGUUUCAGCUAUUCUUAGAGGACUGUCUACCGGUUCCAGCCCUUUGAGACCUAUUCAGAUGCAUCCACUGGUCUUUACAACAGGAGCCCUCUCUAAUUCAACCUCAUAGCCUCCAAAUCCAGAUCCAUCACUGUGCAUUCAUCCUGUAUAGGCACUGUCCCCUGGUUCUGUGCUCGCCCAAACCCAGUUGGAUGCCUCCUCUGGAAUCUACUCCCUGGGACCAUCUUCUGUCCACACUUUUAAGAUUCUGGGCAGAAGCCUGCUCUGUGCAAAGGGCCCUGCUGGAUUUGGUGCUGCAAUCAUGCUUUCAGUGUGAAGGUCAUUGCUUGGUUUCAACUUGUGUUCCUAGUCUCAGGCACAGUGCGCCUGAAAGUGUGCUGUCCAGCAGCCAGCUGGAUACCUCCUCUGUAGUCUAUUCUCUAGAACACCUCUACUGUCCACAUCUUUAAGAUCCUGGCCAGUAUCCUAGUCUGUGCAAGGGGCUUUGCUGGGUUUUUGCUGCAUUCAUGUUUUCAGGCACUGUCUCCCUGAUACUGUGCUGCCUAGCACACAUACUCUGGAGUCUGCUCCUUGGAACCCUCUACUGUCCACAACUUUAAAAACCUGGCCAGCAUCUUAGUCGGUUCCGAGAGCCUUUCAGGUUUGGUGCUGCACUCAUGCUUUCAAGUGAGUUACUGGGCUGACUUCGCAUUCCCAGACCUCAGAGAUGACUGAUCUCUAAGAUAGUCAGACAGGAGGCUGUAUGUGGAGGUCUUUGCUUCAUUUUGACUUUAUCUCAGGCACAGUCCAUCUGAAGCCAGUUGCCCUGCAGCCAUCUGAAUAACUCCUUGACUCCUUGUAGUCUGUUCUCUGGAACAUCUCUACUGUCCACACUCUUAAGAUUCUGACCAGCAUCCUAUUUUGUACAAGGGCCUUGCUAGGUUUGGUGAUGCAUCCAAGCUUUCAGUGUGAAGGUCUAUGCUUGGUUUGGAAAUGUGUUCCUUGUCUCAGACACUGUCUCCUUAAAACUGGCUGCACAGUAUCCAGCUGGAUAAAUCCGCUGUAGUUUGUUCCCUGGAACACCUCUACUGUCCAACCUUUAAGAUCCUUGUUGGCAUCUUACUUGUGCAAAGGGUCUUGCUGGGUUUGGUGCUGCAUUCAUGGUUUCAGAAACUGUCCUCCUGAAAGUGUGCUACCCUGCAUACAUCCUGUAGCUAUUCUCUGGAAUGCCUCUAAUGUCCACACCUUUAAGAUCCUGACAAGCAUCCUAUUUUGUGUGAAGGUCAUUGCUUGGUUUCAACUUGUGUUCCUAGUCUCAGGCACAGUCCGUCUGAAGCCAGUUACCCUGCAGUCAUCUGAAUAACUCCUUGACUCCUUGUAGUCUGUUCUCUGGAACAUCUCUACUGUCCACACUUUUAAGAUCCUGACCAGCAUCCUAUUUUGUGCAAAGGGUCUUGCUGGGUUUGGUGCUGCAUUCAUGGUUUCAGGUGGCCGGUUUAUUAGGCCAUGCCCAGUGAUGCUCAAGCUUUCCUUUAUCUGAGUACUCAGGAAAUACUCCAGGAAAUACUGAAGUGCUCAUUGAUCAAAUGGAAUUCCCGGGAUUGAACCAGGCACUUUCCCCCUGAUGCUUUGCCACCCUGCUCCCAGCUGGAUGCCUCCUAUGUAGUCUGUUCUCUGGAAUACCUCUAGUGUCCAACUUUUGAGAUCCUGGCCAGCAUCCUAGUUUGUGCAAAGGGCCUCGCCAGGUUUGGUCCUGUUUCAUGGUUUCAGUGUGAAGAUCUUUGCUUGUUUUUGACCUGUGUUUCUUGACUCAGGCACACUCUACCUGCUGUGGCCCCUGGAACCCCAACAAAUGCAUCCUCCUCUCAUUGCUGCCAGGCAUGUUAGCAAGCACCUCUUCAAUUCAAUCCACCUGUUUAGCCUAUGGGCAGCAUCUUUCUUCUGUGCAAAGGUCUACACUUGCUUUGUUCCUGAAUUCCUGAACUUAGGCAAUAUCCACGUGGAGCAGUCUUCUAUAACCUUAACAGAUACAUCCAGUGGCCCCACCUGCCCCCCAACCAAUCAGAUGCAUCCUCUGAUGUUGUAAAUAUGGCUAUCUCCAGUCCACCAAUUUAUGCUUUGGAUCUAUUCAUCAAUGUCUAUGCUGGGUUUUUCCUGAGUCACUGGUCUCAGGCACUCUGCUGCUGCAGCCCCUGGUACCCCAGCAAAAGCAUCCUCCUCUCUUGCUGCCGGGCAUGUUAGCCAGCCCCUCUUUAAUCCAGUCCAUAUGUUUAGGCUCUGGGCUGCAUCCUUCUCUGUGUAAAGGCCUAUGCUGGUUUGCCCUGAUUCAAUGGUCUCAGAAUGGGCAUGAAGACUGCCCUGUGUCGAACACAAUGUUCAGAUGAUUUGGCUCCCUUCAGUGGGUGGUUGUCCUGCAUGGAGAGAGAGAGGUGGACAGAACUGUGUCUUCUUGGAAGCAAGGACCUGUUAAUGAUGAAGUUGUAUGAGACCUGUUGAUCAAUGAGCUUAGACUCUCAUCAACACUCAAGAAUAUUAGAUGUAGGAAUUCUCUGCCUGCUUCACCUCCUGGCACCCCAACAAAUGUAUCCUCCUCUCAUUGCUGCCAGGCAUGUUAGCCAGCACCUCAUCAAUUCAAUCCACCUGCUUAGCCUAUGGGCAGCAUCCUUCUUCCGUGUGAAGGUCUAUGCUGGGUUUUUCCUGAGUCAGUGGUCUCAGGCAUUCUCUGCCUGCUUCACCUCCUGGCACCCCAACAAAUGUAUCCUCCUCUCAUUGCUGCCAGGCAUGUUAGCCAGCACCUCUUCAAUUCAAUCCACCUGCUUAGCCUAUGGGCAGCAUCCUUCUUCUGUGCGAAGGUCUACUCUUACUUAGUUUCUGCAUUGCUGGUCUCAGGCACUAACUACCUGCAGUGGCCCCCUGGGACCCCAACAGAUGCCUCUUCCUGUCAUCCACUGCCCUCGCAUGAAAUCCAGCCCUUCUCCACUCUACCUGCUUAGGCUCUAGAGCUGCAUCCUUCUCCGUUCAAGGUCUACACUGGUUUUGUUCCUGCAUUCCUGGUGUCAGGCACUCUGCCUGCUGUGGCCCCCGGCCCCCCAACAAAUGUGCAUCCUCCACUCAUUGCAUCUGGCCAUGUUAGCCAGCACCUUUCCAAUACAAUCCAUCUACUUAACCUCCAGUCUGCAUCCUUCUCUGGU